rnacentral:miRNA from 1 species
CGGUGGUCUCGUCAGCCACUGUUCAUUAUUCAGUCGGCCAUCAUUGAUCUCGCUCACCCAAAAAUGUCGGAACGGAAAAUUGCCGCCGCCAUCGUCGAAUGUUUGCCGGCUGGUUCUAGAAUAAGAAAGUCCGCAUAUUUUCUUCAAUUGCAGAUGUAUAAUGGCAAAUUAAAGUAUCGACGCGAUAGACUGCGCUCAUAACAGUUUUUGUCUGCGAGUCGGCAUACGGCGAACAUUGAACAGGCGGCAGAAAAAAGAAAGAUGGCAAAAUGGUGCGGUCCAUCGAUCUUCAGUGAGGGCACGUCGGCAGCAACUGACUACUGAUGGCGGAGUUCGUGGAGGGAUGGCUGGUGGCGCAGGUGCUGGGCGAGGGAGCUUACGGCGAGGUGCGGCUGCUGGUGCACGCGCGCUCGGGCGCGGCGGUGGCGCUGAAGGUGUCGCGCGGCGGGGCGGGCGCGCGCGAGGCGGCGCUGCAGCGCGCGCUGCGCCACCCGCACGUGCUGCGCUGUCUGGGCGAGCGCACGCACCUGCACCACCACUACAUGUUCCUCGAGUACGCGCAGGGCGGCGAGCUCUUCGACAAGAUCGAGCCCGACGUGGGCAUGCCGGAGAGCGCGGCGCGGCGCUACUGGCGACAGACGCUCGCCGGCCUCGAGUACCUGCACGCGCGCGGCGUCGCGCACCGCGACAUCAAACCCGAGAACCUGCUGCUCGACCAUCACGAUGACGUCAAGAUCUCGGACUUCGGCAUGGCCACCGUGUUCCGGCACGGCGCGCGCGAGCGGGCGCUGUCGCGCGUCUGCGGCACGCUGCCCUACGCCGCGCCCGAGGUGCUGCGCGCCGAGCAGCAGCCCUACCGCGCGCCGCCCGCCGACCUGUGGGCCGCCGCGCUCGUGCUGCUCGCCAUGCUCGCCGGCGGUGAGUCACUCCCCCACACUCCGCACUCCACUCGGCGAACGACGCGCCACCGAGCUUCGCGACGCCAAAUCCCGCCGCGGCCCGUCUCUUUGGUAUCCUAGCUGUAGGCGUCCCGUGAGCCCUAAAGUUAUGGUACCGAAGUUACGAGUCGCGUCGCACGCAUCGGCUCCGUCCCGACGGGAGCGGGUAAGCGUUGUUUGAUCACGUCUAGUAAUAGUAGUAGUGGUCGUUGUAAUGGUGGUGCACGUGAGUAGUGACGGCGGUGCCUGGUGCAGAGCUGCCGUGGGAGCGCGCGGCGGAGGAGGACGCGCGGUUCGCGG